UACGGAGGGUGCGAGCGUUAUCCGGAUUUACUGGGUUUAAAGGGUGCGUAGGUGGAUUUGUAAGUCAGUGGUGAAAUCUCCGGGCUUAACCCGGAAACUGCCAUUGAUACUAUAAGUCUUGAAUUAUCUGGAGGUAAGCGGAAUAUGUCAUGUAGCGGUGAAAUGCUUAGAUAUGACAUAGAACACCAAUUGCGAAGGCAGCUUACUACGGAUAUAUUGACACUGAGGCACGAAAGCGUGGGGAUCAAACAGG
rnacentral:rRNA from 1 species